rnacentral:misc_RNA from 1 species
CAUCCUAUGGGAGUUGGUCACCAUGCAACAGCCGUGGAAUGGACUUAGUCCUGCACAGGUUGUUGGAGCUGUAGCUUUCCAAAAUAGAAGGCUUGCCAUACCGCAAAAUGCCUCCCCUGUGUUGGCUUCUCUUAUGGAAUCUUGCUGGGCCGAUGAUCCAGCUCAACGCCCAUCUUUCGGCAAUAUAGUGGAGUCGUUGAAGAAGUUGCUGAAGUCUCCACUCCAGUUGAUACAGAUGGAGAGCAAAUAAUGAAAGAGUACUUCCACCAAAACCAGUUAAUAAUUGGUGUGGGAUAUAUUGGGAGCAUUCUGAACAGAUUUCAGAGAUCUAGUCUACAACUAGUAAUGGUAAACCUCUACAGUUAUGUACCCACUAACAGAACCUUUUCGAUUCCAGGCAUCUGUAGAUUUGUUACUCAUCUAAAUGAUUUGCAAGGCAACUGAACUCAUGAAAGCGGAACCUGCAGGUUAAGAAUGCAGGGUUGCUCCUUCUGUAUUUGUAUAGGUAUGAGUAGCCUCUCUCAUGAGUUAUAUUAAAAUCAUUGCUAAUCUGAAUUGUCAGAGAACAGUUAUGUAUUUUGUUUGUAACUAAAACUGCAAUUCUGGGCUGUAUCGAGGAAGUUCCUUCAUCAUGUUCGUACAUAUAUUUGCAGGAUUAUGUAAUAAUACAAAACCGAAAUUCCUUCCCAUAUAUAUUUAGCUGGAAUAAACAGCAUUUACUUUGCUAAUUACUUGCAUAUUCAAG